UGGAUGUGUCUUUUCAGAUGUGGGUUCCUUUAUCUUUCUCCUUGGUUUAUUGGACCACUGUGAUUUAAAUUGCUUUAACAAACAUGUAAAGGUACACAUUUUCUUCUGCAUGCUAUUGCACUUCAUGGCACAGGUUUUAAGAUUUAGUAUAUUUAUUUUCUAAACAGUUUGUAUUUCCUAAGUGAUUUCAUUCCAUCUUUUGUUCUAUUACUUUGUUAUAUUUCACAAGAAGUUGUAUAGGUGUAGAAAACAUAUAAACAUGAGCGUUAAUAGUUACCGUAAAUACCUGGGAACUACCACCCAGCCCCGACCCAGGUGAAGAAACAGACUAUUGCUAGUACUACAAACCUUCUGCACGUUCCUUCCAGAUGAUCAUUCCCUUCAAUGCUAAUCUUUUCCUUUUCCCUAGUUUUUAUCAUAUAUAUCUGCAUUUCUGAACAAUAUGAUUUAGUAUUGACUUUUUAAGCUUCAUAUUGAGUCAUACUAUAUGUGUGUUCUUUGUCUUUUGCUUAACAUUGUGUGUUAAAUUUAUUCAUAUGUGUAGCUGUGGUUCUUUUUCAUUGCUGUAUUUAUUCCAUUCUUUGAACAUACCAUUACAGAUUUAUCCAUUUGAGUUGAUUGCAGUUUGCUAUUAGGAACAGUGUGGGACGCCUACUUGGCACUGUUGGUUAAGCGUCUGACUCUUGGUUUUGGCUCAGGUCGUGCUCUCAGGGUUGUGAAGUUGAGCCCCACAUCAGCCUCCGCACUCAGAGCAGAGUCAGCUCAAGAUUCUCUCCCUCUCCCUCUGUUCCUCCCGGUUGUGCUUGCGCUCUCUCUCACUCCCUCUCUCAAAGAAAUAAAU